AGAGUUUGAUCCUGGCUCAGGAUGAACGCUGGCGGCGUGCUUAACACAUGCAAGUCGAACGGAGUGCUCAUGACGGAGGAUUCGUCCAACGGAUUGAGUUACUUAGUGGCGGACGGGUGAGUAACGCGUGAGGAACCUGCCUCGGAGUGGGGAAUAACAGCCCGAAAGGGUUGCUAAUACCGCAUGAUGCAGUUGGGCCGCAUGGCUCUGACUGCCAAAGAUUUAUCGCUCUGAGAUGGCCUCGCGUCUGAUUAGCUGGUUGGCGGGGUAACGGCCCACCAAGGCGACGAUCAGUAGCCGG
rnacentral:rRNA from 1 species